UCCGUAGGCGGGCAGCUAAGUCAGUGGUGAAAGUCUGCAGCUCAACUGUAGAAUUGCCAUUGAUACUGGCUGUCUUGAAUUAUUAUGAAGUGGUUAGAAUAUGUAGUGUAGCGGUGAAAUGCAUAGAUAUUACAUAGAAUACCAAUUGCGAAGGCAGAUCACUAAUAAUAUAUUGACGCUGAUGGACGAAAGCGUGGGGAGCGAACAGGAUUAGAUACCCUGGUAGUC
rnacentral:rRNA from 1 species